AGAGUAACGGACUGGUGAGUGACUGCAGCGCUGAGAAUUCAGCUGAUGAGUGUGAUUUGGGCUUGGCCAUGUUGGUGGACUCCGGGGUCUGCGUAGUAGCAGGUCUCUGCCUUCGGGUGGGGAUGCGCGAUACACUUAUCAAGUGUUGCACGCUCCGGUUGAUCUUCGGCCUACUCGUCAGUGCACUUUCUCAGUGUGUUCACCACGACCAGCACCGCUGUCUGGCUGCUAUGGUUAAACCGGUUAUGCAUAAUCCUUGUGGUUAUGCAUAGACGGGAUGGCAGGUGACUCGUUAGCAGGUUUGUGGCUUUGCUGCAUUCAUUGCUAUUGAAAGUUAUUAGCUGACCAUAGUGGUUCUGUGCAGUGUGUUGGAGGCGGCGGCUUUAGUUGUUGCAGGUGUCUCUGCUUGCUGACUUGUCCGGGUUUGGUUAUUUUGUUGCCUGUUUCAACAGGCCUAGUGAUGGCUCGGAUUCGUUCGGUGAGUGGUUGCAUUUGUGACUUCAUUUCUGGGGCCAAUAGUCUGUGGUGUAGUGGUAGACUUUCUACCUGACCCGUCUUGAAACACGGACCAAGGAGAGUAACAUGUGCGCGAGUCAUUGGGCGUUACGAAACCCACAGGCGAAGUGAAAGUAAAGGUCUGACUUGUUCAGGCUGAGGUGAGAUCCUGUCGUUUCCCACGCGCGGUACUACCAAGCAUCGAGCGGCAGGCGCAUCACCGGCCCGUCCCAUGGCAUUUGAUUUCGGUCAGUUUUCGGUCGGGGCGGAGCAUGAGCGUACAUGUUGAGACCCGAAAGAUGGUGAACUAUGCUUGCGCAGGUUGAAGCCAGAGGAAACUCUGGUGGAGGACCGCAGCGAUUCUGACGUGCAAAUCGAUCGUCAAACGUGAGUAUAGGGGCGAAAGACUAUCGAACCAUCUAGUAGCUGGUUCCUCCGAGU
rnacentral:rRNA from 1 species